CAGAGUUCGUGCCCUCGCGGGUAGAUCUCCCACCCUGUGUUAUUAUUACCUUUGUUGCUUUGGCGGGCCGCCCUCGGCUACCGGCCCUCGCUGGUACGCGCCCGCCAGAGGACCCCAAACUCUGAAUGUUAGUGUCGUCUGAGUACUAUACAAUAGUCA
rnacentral:misc_RNA from 1 species